UAUGUGGUUAAUUCGGUGCAACGCGAAGAACCUUACCUGGUCUUGACAUCCCGGAGACCCUUAGGAAACUAGGGGGUGCUUCCAUCUGGAAGAAUCUGGAGACAGGUGCUGCAUGGCUGUCGUCAGCUCGUGUCGUGAGAUGUUGGGUUAAGUCCCGCAACGAGCGCAACCCUUGCCUUUAGUCGCCAGCAGUUCGGCUGGGCACUCUAAAGGGACUGCCGGUGUUAAACCGGAGGAAGGUGGGGAUGACGUCAAGUCCUCAUGGCCUUUAUGACCAGGGCUACACACGUACUACAAUGGCCGAUACAGAGGGCAGCGACACUGCGAGGUGAAGCCAAUCCCGUAAAAUCGGUCUCAGUCCGGAUUGGAGUCUGCAACUCGACUCCAUGAAGUUGGAAUCGCUAGUAAUCGUGGAUCAGCAUGCCACGGUGAAUACGUUCCCGGGCCUU
rnacentral:rRNA from 1 species